UGGUGACACAGUUGACUGCGGUCUUACUGAGACUAUGGUUGCAUACCUUUUCCAAGGAUCCUUCAAAAAGCAGGUUAAAUUCAACCAAUUUGUGUCAAGGAUGAAGGAAUCUUCAGUGACGCUGACUCUACAGACUGUCUCUCCAGAAGACUGGCAACCAUCUACUUCGUCAACUUUAAUAAGCAAUGAAAAUACUUUGAGACUGCCAGCCUCUUUUGAAAUUCCAAGAUUUCCCAAAAAUCUGCAACUAAAACUGGACAACAAAGAACCGUGCCAUAAAAAUCCAAGGGACAGACACACAAUAAUCAGAGUUCUAUAUGAAGCUGUGGCACAGUAUACUAUGUAUCCCACAAAUUCUGAAUAUGUGCAAGCUGUGAAGACGCUGGUAAUGAAGUAUCCUUUCCUCAAGGAUCGUGAGGG